rnacentral:rRNA from 1 species
AUGAAAGAAGGAGACAUGGAGAAAACUGCUUUUAGCACACACAUUGGUUUGUUUGAGUUCUUGGUAAUGCCUUUUGGAGUGACAAAUGGCCCUCCCACCUUUACAGAACUCAUGCACACUGUAUUGGGGCCAUUACUGAGACACUAUGUGCUAGUUUUCUUUGAUGAUAUCCUCAUUUUUAGCAAGACAUACAAGGAACACUUGGAACAUGUAGCCCUAGUAUUGGAAGAACUCAGGAAACAUCAGCUAUAUGCAAAGCUCUCUAAGUGCACCUUUGCACAAAACAAAGUGGAGUAUUUGGGCUAUGUGGUUACUGACAAGGGAGUCUCCACAGAUCCUGCAAAAAUAGAAGCCAUAGUAAACUGGCCCACACCUCAGAAUGUGACACACUUGAGGAGUUUCUUGGGAUUAGCUGGAUACUACAGGAGGUUUGUUCAGAAUUAUGCACUGAUUUGCAAGCCAUUGUUUGAUGCAUUGAAAAAGGAAGGAUUUCAAUGGACUGACAGACAAAUGACCACUUUUCCUGAUUUCUUCCCAACAACUAAAGGAGCAGUGUUAAUGCAAAAGGGACAGCCCAUUGCAUAUAUGAGCAAAGCUCUAGGCCCUAAAGCUGCUGGCUGGUCCACAUAUGACAAAGAGGCACUGGCAAUCAAUGAAGCACUUAAGAAAUGGAAACACUACUUUGCUUCAUCCUCUCUGAUUAUCAGAAUUGACCAGCAGAGUUUGAAAUACAUACAGGAGCAAAAAGUAACUGAAGGGGUUCAACACAAACUCCUCAUUAAACUCAUGGGGUACAAUUUCACAGUGGAAUACAAGAAAGGCAAGGAAAACAGAGUAGCUGGUGCUCUCUCCAGAGUUAAAUAUGCUCUAAAUGCCCUGGGAUCUAGCACUGCAAUUCCCUCUUGGAUUUCUGAAGUGGUGAAUAGUUACAAAGGAGACACUAAAUGUUCUAACUUAAUUGCUAAACUUGCAAUAGAUCCAACUGGCCAACCUCCCUAUACUCUCACUAGUGGAGUGCUUGGGUAUAAGGGAAAAAUCAUGAUUGGCAACAACAGUGAACUGGAAAAUUCCUUGCUCACUUCUUUUCACAAGUUUGAAUUAGGAGGACACUCUUGGGAAAGAGCAACUUAUCACAGAUUGAAAAUCCUUUUUACUUGGCCUGGAAUGAGGAAGGCAGUGCAAACCUUUGUUCAGCAGUGCCCUGUCUGUCAAUUGAACAAGGCACAACAUGUGCACCCCCUAGCCUGUUACAACCCCUCCUAG